GUGCUGGUGGUGUAGGGGUUAAGCGUGCAACCAUAUAUAGAGGCUAUAGUCCUUGAUGUGUCAGUCCCAGGUUCGAGUCCUGGACCCAGUGACU